rnacentral:rRNA from 1 species
CGCGUAGGCGGUUGAGUAAGUCAAAUGUGAAAUCCCAGGGCUUAACCUGGGAACUGCAUUCGAUACUGCUUAACUAGAGUAUGGUAGAGGGAAGUGGAAUUCCGGGUGUAGCGGUGAAAUGCGUAGAUAUCCGGAGGAACACCAGUGGCGAAGGCGACUUCCUGGGCCAAUACUGACGCUGAGGUGCGAAAGCGUGGGGAGCAAACA